UAGUGGAAACUACUAGAAAACCUGAUGGUGAGUUGAUAGGACUCGCGAGUGAAUGCAGAAUUAAGAGACAGCUAUUUUUCAUCACAAUAUUUUUACAUUUUGUCGUCAAGUUUUAAUCAAAGAACCAUUAUGACGGAUACCGAUUCAUCUCGCCCCCUUGAAAUGUUUGUUGACUACUGAAAAAGACCUUUCAGCUUUACCAUGCUGCCCGGGGGAGCGAGCGACUGACAACAGGGAAGUAGUUUGCACCAACUGAUAGAGCCAAAGUAGAGUCGUAUUUACAGUCACACCUUGUAAGCCAGCUAGCUGGUUGCUUGGUGGCUUCAGUUCUGAUUAACGAGUGUCAACGAAGGAAAGUUAGCAGCUAGCAGUGCCGCCUGCCGUCGGAGCUGAGUUCAAGGUCCGACACGCGAGCCCCGUUAACGGCACCAGUCGACGGUUCAAAUGUCUGGUGGACACGUUGGAACCAAAACGUUGAAUUUCAACGUCGGAGUGCUCGGACAUGUCGACAGCGGGAAGACGUCGCUGGCCAGGGCGCUGAGCAGCACCGCCUCCACGGCCGCCUUCGACAAGAACCCGCAGUCCCGUGAGAGGGGCAUCACGCUGGACCUCGGCUUCUCCUCCUUCACGGUGGAUCUACCCGACCAGCUGCGGGGCAGCGCCGGGCCGCAGCGGUACGGCAGCCUGCAGUUCACCCUGGUCGACUGCCCGGGACACGCCUCUCUCAUCCGCACUAUCAUUGGGGGUGCCCAAAUCAUUGACCUGAUGAUGCUGGUGGUGGACGUGGUAAAGGGGGUACAGACUCAGACUGCAGAGUGUCUGCUGAUAGGAGAGCUGACCUGCCCUCGCAUGGUGGUCGUCCUGAACAAGAUUGACCUCCUGCCACCCAACAAGAGACAAGGUGCCAUUGAGAAGAUGACCAAGAGACUGCACAAAACACUGGAGAACACCAGAUUUAAGGAAUGUCCAGUGAUUGCUGUUGCAGCGAAGCCCGGGGGCCCAGAGGCUCCUGACACAGAGGAGACUCAGGGAGUGCCUGAGCUCAUAGAGCUCCUGAAGAGACAGACAUAUCUCCCUCAGAGAGACCCUGCAGGUGACCUGUUGAUGGCUGUGGACCAUUGCUUCUCCAUCCGUGGGCAGGGAACAGUCAUGACCGGCACCAUCCUGCAAGGGUCGCUGGCCAUCAAUGACACGGUGGAAAUCCCAGCACUAAAGGUGAACAAGAAGAUAAAAUCGGUGCAGAUGUUUCGGAAGCCAGUGUCUGGGGCCAUGCAAGGGGAUCGUGUGGGCGUGUGUGUGACACAGUUUGACCCUAAACUGUUAGAGCGGGGUGUGGUGUGCACCCCAGGGUCCCUGCACACACUCUAUGCCGCUGUCGUCUCUGUCAGGAAGAUAGGCUACUUCAAGGGCUCUCUUGCCACCCGUGCCAAGUUCCACAUCACCGUGGGUCAUGAGACAGUCAUGGCGAAGGUUACCUUCUUUGGCCUGCCACCUGUGGCAGCCUCAGAGUCCUCAUCUGAUACGAAACCACCUAUGUCGCUGCCCUGCUCCCUGGAAACACCCUUCACGUUGGACAGGGAGUACUUCUACCAGGAUGAGUAUGUCACGGGUCAGGGAGAGACGAGUUCAGAACCUGACCCAGAGCAAUGGGCCUUGUUGGAGUUUGAGCGACCUGUCACGUGUCCCUCGCUCUGCCUUGUGAUUGGCUCCAAGCUGGACAGAGACAUCCACGCCAAUGCAUGCCGGUUAGCCUUCCAAGGCCGCCUGUUACAGGGGUUUGAAGACAAAAGCUAUGCUGAGACUGCCCUGCCUCACCUGCGCAUCUACAAGACCAAACACAAGGAGGGACAGGUGGAAAGGGUGUGUGAUGACUACACUCUGAUUGGCCGCAACCUGUUCAAGAAGGAGACCAACCUCCAGCUCUUUGUGGGCUUGAAGGUCACACUGUCGACAGGAGAGAGUGGCGUUAUCGAGGGUGGGUUUGGACAGAGCGGGAAGUUCAAGAUCAGAAUCCAAGGGAGGCACUCAGUGGCGGCGAGACGAUGGAGGAGCAGAGACCAUUGGAGGGUGACAUGCUGAAUGGCAAAUACAGUGACUGAUAAAGCAGAAAGAGCAGACCUUUGACACGAGUUGCGAUCCAGACAGCGAGGAGCUUCCAGCACUUUUCUGCAGUUUUGUCUUCUUCGUUUUGAAAAAAUAAGUCCCAGCCAUACAAGUACAGACUGGUGUCACCCAGAUAGAGGGCGAUAACACAGAUGUGAGGGAUGUGGUUGAAGUUACGGAUGACGACGCGUUGCUUUAUCCGCCAGCACGCGACCGGGACUGGUGUGCAGAGCAGACCUUUGAUGCGAGUUGCGAUCCAGACAGCGAGGAGGUGAGCGAUCGCACAGCAACGAUGAAGGGUGAUGAAAAGACGAGGCCUUGUUUACACACAGAUGAGCAACAGAGAAGCGCCAAAACAAACUCAGACCACAACAAGUAAAUCUACCGCCUCUCACAACAAAUCAAAACUGGACUUUUUUCUGUUAAACCAUAACUUGUUAAGCCUUUUAAAGAUUGUGUAUACACACGCACACCACAUGAUUGAGUCACAUCAUUAAUUAAUCGCCAUUUUUUUGUGUUAGUUGCUGAAUCACAAGUCAUUUAUCAAGAAUGUAAAGCAAGACAUUCACCAUCUCAAGAUUCUUGAUUUUAGCAGAUGGAAACCACAUCUUGGUUCACUUAAUUUUCUUCCCUUUGUUAAUCUUUUCUUUCUUCUUCAUCCUAAUGAACCAAAACUGCUUUUAAACACGAAUGUGGUUGCUCUCUUCCUCUCAUCUUCCUCCUUCUCUCAGUGGAAGCGUUCCUCAGCUCUCCCUCCUCCUCUUCUCUUGGAUUGCCUCACGUUUAGGUUACACUUUAUUUGGAUCUCAACUAUCAGUCCGAGCGGUCCCUCGGUGAGUCGCUGCUGCAGGACCUGUCCGCCGGUGGCUCGCUGCUCGUCACUGUCAACUCCGUCCACCGGGACCAAGAGCAACACGUCCAACUGUGGGUGACAGCGCGGGGCGAAGCUUGUCAAGCAGCUCGGGGGCGGAGUCUCCAAUAAAGCUGGGACUCAGCCAAUUGCACGGCACCUCUGCAGACCCUCGGAGCCGCCACCGCCCCAGUACCCCUGCACCAGAACAUCACUGAUCGUCCGUUCUCAACUGCAGCUGGAAUGUGAUGAAUACACACCGACGGCACGAGUGGAUCCAGAUAAUGUUGGUGUUUUCCUCCACUUUUAUUUAGUCUGGCUGCAUCUUUUUUCGACAAUGAGCUGAGAGGGAGCGCGUGCAGCUCCGACCAGCCGCCUGCUUGACGCCGUCUCCUGACGUCAGUGCAACUCAGAGAAGAAAAAAACCGGAACAGAUUCACGACCUGAACUUUUUCUAACACACACACACACACACACACACACACACAGAGAGAGUGGCCUGCAGGAGUGUGAGGUCCCAGCGGAUGAACUUGAGGACACUGCAACUGAUAUUUACACUGUGGUCACAUUAAUAAUCCACUGAACUUGAACUGUGAUUUCGAAGAACAGGCCAACUGCACUGCAUGGCACACUACUGACAAAAGUGGACGAGAGAUUAGAUCAGAUUAGAAACUUGAAUGUCCUCAUUGAGGACAUUCAAGUUUUCGGAGAAACACACGCACACACAUACCAGCAAAUGUUUUGUUUCCUCAUACUGCAGUUGACUGAUCGUCGCCAUAAGGUAGCUACAGUCUAUAUGAACAAACAGCAUGAGACCAUCAGUCUGCCCUGGGGUGUGAAACUGGCUAGUUUGGAGCGUUCAGAAUUGGGAGUGGGUAUUCAACUGGAAAUUAUGUAAAUGCAUUAGUAAAGCAUGCAUCCAAAAAUCGUUUAUUUUAAAUUUACACCAGAAUACUAUAUUUGCCAUAUUUAUCUCAUUGACUAAACAAGGACAUCAUUGAAUCCGCCACACACAUACAGAUUAAUCACCUCAUUUAUUCUUUUGAAUGCAGAUGCUGCACUAUAAGUCCACCUUUGGGAGCAGGUCGUGAAGAGGCAGCAGCGGUUGUACCUCACACACCUGCAGUUUCUCUCCAGGCAGCGUCGAGAGCCAAUCCACCGUGUGCAGGCGGGAGACAGCAGCUCGCACGGGCGGGACAAGUGUUGCAGUAUUAGAGCUCAUCAGCAUGAUAAUGUGCAAAUACACAUGCUUUGAGUGGGAGCCCUUCGAUCUGGCCUGGCGAUAAAACCUUAUCGGCGGCGAACAUCCACUUCCAUUUUAGGAUUUGACAUUAAUUCAAUCCUCUUUUUCUCCCCCUUUCUUUUUCUUUCUUUUUCUUUUAUUUAUUUUUUGUGUGUACUGCCCCCUUUUUCCUCACAGAAGCCACGGAGAAAGAGAGAGGUCGCAGCUCGACUCAGCUCUGAGAAUCUCAUUAUGGGACCACCGCUGCAAAAAGAAGUGGCUUAUAAUAUCAAUGAAAAAUAAAUGUCGCUUGAGUGUAAUACAGCAACAAAAAUGAAAAGUAUAGACGUCUAGUAUUAGAAUGAAAAGCCCAAUUAUUAUAAGUGUUAAUGAAUUAAUAGAUUCGUAUUAUUAUUUGUAUUUGUUUUAUUAGAUAUUUAUUUAGCUGAUUUCUAAACAAUGAUUAUUUCCAGCACGUUACACUGAUGUGCGUUGGGGUUUAUAAGCUUGAAGCAGAGGGAGCGAGAAAUCCAAUGCAGGAUCCUUGGGUCCCGAUGAUUAUACCCAUCCCGGGGUAAUUUUUCACCGGUGCUGGGCUAAUCUUUGUUCUUUGUGAAGAUAAUAAAUUGCCUAAUCGUUAUCAGCGAGCUGCUGGAGGUGUCGCGGAGAAUGGGGCCGCUCGGCCCCGGGAAAAUCGGCUCCAAAGUGCCGCGGAAUAAAUGCCAUUUCUUAUCUCCCUCUGCCAGAUUAUCGCCGCCUUUUCAAACCCGCACAACAAAUACAUCUAAUGCAGGGGAUGCAUCAUUUGCUGGACCAGAUCUGUGUGAAUGAUGAUAGAUUGAUAGAUAGAUACGGAGGGGGGGGGGGGGUGUCGGUUAUUAUUUACAAGUUUAAUGUUCUGCAUGUGCAAAGUCUUUAUUCGUCUAUCGACAGUAUUAUGCAGCUCGCUUUUCCAUUAUUUUUUAGGUUAUCUGCAGGAGCCAUCUGAGGUUCCGGUUCUUUGUUGGGAUCUGAUUUCUUUCAUGUUGGAUUUCACUGGAUAAGAGUUAAACAGACUCAGCCGCGUCCACCCAGGGAGAAAGAUAUAUCUGAAUAUAUCUGUUUUCAUGUGUGUUGGACAUUUUUGCGAACCGCAAAUGCGAGCAACGAGCCACGUGUACCGUUAUAAAUCGGCCCCUGUUAGAUUGACUUGAUAAUUAAACCAGGUUUAUUCAUCCAUUCUAAUCUUGUUUUGAAUGCUGUAACACUUUAUAUGGCUGUUGUAUCAAGGUGCAUGAAAACGGUGAAGAUGAGGGGAUUUGGCCAUUGUCCAAAGUGUUAUGAGCGUGCUUGAUAUUUAAUAAAUUCCCUCAAACAGCUACAAACCAAAUCUUUUACACAUUUAUUGUAUUCUCGAAUUUGAAGACAAUUGGGUUGAAAAGAAAAAUACUAAGAUAAACAUACUGUUGAUCGAAAAAAAACCCCCCAAAGAAAGACAUUUUCUCCAGCACAAAAGCUGUAGUCCCAUGUCUCAUGAAGAAUAAGAUCAAAUAAAGCAUGUGUCCUGUAAAGACACAAAGAAUGAA